rnacentral:rRNA from 1 species
GAUGAACGCUAGCGGCAGGCUUAAUACAUGCAAGUCGAACGGUAAGUUUGGUAGCAAUAUCAAACCAAGAGUGACGUACGGGUGCGUAACACGUAUGCAACCUACCUUGUACAGGAGUAUAGCUCGGGGAAACUCGAAUUAACCCUCCAUGAGAUCACAGUGUGGCAUCACACAGUGAUUAAAACUCAGGUGGUACAAGAUGGGCAUGCGUCUGAUUAGAGUUGGCGGGGUAAUGGCCCACCAAGACGAUGAUCAGUAGGGGACCUGAGAGGGUGAUCCCCCACACUGG